UAUCCUGCCAUCUUUAAGUAGAAUUUGAAAAAAAAGAAAAAAAGAAAAACAGGGAGGAAAUAUUGCAACUAAUCUUAUCUUUUAGCCUUUCAAUAUAGAUUUAUACUUGGAAUUUGAUAUAUGUACGAAGGUAGAUUGUUAGAUGUUAAAAGGCCGAAUUAUAAUGUAGAGAUGUGUAUGCCAUGUUUACAUGUGUAAAUCAAUGAUCAACACAUUUUUAGAUUCCUUAAAAAGAUGAGUAGCUACUAUGAAUUGGAAACAGGAAAUUUAGAGACAUGAAACUGUAGAAAUCGAGUUUUCAAAUAAAAUUUAGAAAGGUUGGCUAUUUUUGCAAUAUUGUAUAGAUUUUAGUGAAACAAAAUCGCCACUCCCAAGGUCUGGCAGUGCUGGUAGCCAUGGGAUAGAUUGUUUUGCGUUUUCGCGUGAUAAAAGAGUGAUUUGGAGAGAAAAAUGGUAAGAGGGUAAUUGAGAUCUUUCGUAUGUGUCAUCGUGCACCUCGGUGUGGUUUGUGUGUGUUGGUUGGUGUUGUGGACACAUUGCUGCUUAUAUUGACACUUGGUGAUUAUGUCUAGGUUCACGUGACACCUAGAGGCAUUGAUGGAGUCGCAGACUCAGGUGAGGCAGGAGGUGAGCGUAGGGGACGCGGUGUGAGGUCGAGAUAGAUUGUACCUCGGUAAGCUUCCCUCGCUUUCGGACAUAUUUUGAGUAUAUAACUUUGUGGACCUUUCAUUUAUUGCUUUUGAGAUCGUGAUGUAGAUGAUUAAGAUGUGAGUUGUUACCUUGAACUUUUGGAUUGUGAUCUGUUUUGGUUUUAUGGUGGUAAAAGAAAUUUUGAAUUUGGUUUUCGAGACGUUGAGUGGAUUAGUAUUGUUAUAACUCUCUUACUUGUUGGAUGAAAUUGUGAUUGUAAUUGAUCUCUCCUCCCUGCUGUAGUUGUA